UAGAAACUGAAGAAGAUUCUUUCCUUAAAAUAGACUGUAUGAUGACUUUUUUUGUCUUAUUUUUUCUUAAAUACCUCUUUAAGUCUGGUUUAUCUAGACGUUCAGUUUUUUCUUCUUGAAUAGAAUCUUCUGAUAUAGAACUCUCCCCCUGAAUAAGAUUGUCCAGAGUUACCAAACUGAGUAUCAUUUCUUCCUUCUUAUUCUCCCCCUGAAGAUUGGGGUAGAGCUGAAGUAUGAUUCAGAUUCUUUAAAAGUAACAUUCAUAGUAAUAAAGUAUUUUCUAAACGAUGGAUGAUAACACUUGUAACCCUUUUGAAUAGGAAAAUAUCCAUCAAAUACGCACCUGAGAGCUCUAGGUUCCAGUUUACUCACAUUUCUAGUAUGGACAAAACAAACAUAUCCAAACCCUUUUGGGGAAACAAUACAGGAAUUGUUACCUUUCAAAACCUCAAGAGGACUUCUAAAAUCAAUGACUGACAAAGAUAUUCUAUUAAUAAGAUAGGCAAGUGAGAAAAUUACAUCUCCCCAAUAACUUUUAGGCAGAUUUAUGGUGAACAUUACUACCAAGGUACCUCUAUUAUGUGUUUGUUUUUUUUUUUCAGUAAUUCCGUUUUGUUCACUGGUGCAGACACAACUUGUUUGGUGAAUUAUCUCAUUUGACUCCAAGUAGGUACCAGAUUAUGUCUUUACAUUCCAGCAAGGAAAAUCUAAACGGCCAUUUGGAAGGAUAUGGUGGGAUGAGACCAUUGGAACUGUUGUAACAUUUCCAAGUUAUCAGAGCCAGGCAGCAUUACAUCCAGAGCAAGAUCGAGUCCUUACCAUACGGGAAUAUGCAAGGUUGCAAGGUUUUCCUGACUACUAUAGAUUCCGGGGGACAGUUAAACAGAGGUAUUGUCAGGUCGGCAAUGCAGUUGCUAUUCCAGUUUCUCGAGCUUUAGGAUUUGCCUUGGGGAUAGCUUUUCAAAAACUGAGAGGGGACGGUCCACUAAUUAUCCUUCCCCGGAAGUUCUCGCUUUCUACUUAUCUUCAGUUAAUGCAACUCAUUGUUUUGGAAGACUGACUGAUUAGGCCUCAUUUUCUACUCACCUACCAUUCAUCUCAUUUUUUGUGGUAUUAACAGAAGCUACAUUUUUGGAACUCUUCCAAGCAUUUUCAUGUUGAUUAAAUUACGGUAAUAAUCGCUGGUGUAGCAGUGAAGUAUAAAUAAAUUCUCUUGAUAUUCUGUAUGUCUGUUGGAAAUAUGGAACCAGUUGAUGGUUUCUUAUUGUGGAGUGAUUCGAAUUCGGGUAAAUUUAACAAUUGUUGAUGCAGUUGACAUUGAAAUUUUCUUCUAAUAGUCAAGUUAAUAAUAAGAUGAUAUUGUUCAUUGGUCAAGU